AGAGUUUGAUCCUGGCUCAGGACGAACGCUGGCGGCGUGCCUAACACAUGCAAGUCGAACGGAAGUUAGAGCUUCGGUUUUAACUUUAGUGGCGAACGGGUGAGUAACGCGUGAGGAACCUGCCUUUCAGUGGGGGACAACAGUUGGAAACGACUGCUAAUACCGCAUGACACUUUUGAGGGACAUCCCUUAAAAGUCAAAGCUUUAUGUGCUGAAAGAUGGCCUCGCGUCUGAUUAGCUAGUUGGUGAGGUAACGGCUCACCAAGGCGACGAUCAGUAGCCGGUCUGAGAGGAUGAACGGCCACAUUGGGACUGAGAUACGGCCCAGACUCCUACGGGAGGCAGCAGUGGGGAAUAUUGGGCAAUGGGCGCAAGCCUGACCCAGCAACGCCGCGUGAAGGAAGAAGGCUUUCGGGUUGUAAACUUCUUUUACCAGGGACGAAGGACGUGACGGUACCUGGAGAAAAAGCCACGGCUAACUACGUGCCAGCAGCCGCGGUAAUACGUAGGUGGCAAGCGUUGUCCGGAUUUACUGGGUGUAAAGGGCGUGUAGGCGGAGAUGCAAGUUGGGAGUGAAAUCCAUGGGCUCAACCCAUGAACUGCUCUCAAAACUGUAUCCCUUGAGUAUCGGAGAGGCAAGCGGAAUUCCUAGUGUAGCGGUGAAAUGCGUAGAUAUUAGGAGGAACACCAGUGGCGAAGGCGGCUUGCUGGACGACAACUGACGCUGAGGCGCGAAAGCGUGGGGAGCAAACAGGAUUAGAUACCCUGGUAGUCCACGCUGUAAACGAUGAAUACUAGGUGUGGGAGGACUGACCCCUUCCGUGCCGCAGUUAACACAAUAAGUAUUCCACCUGGGGAGUACGACCGCAAGGUUGAAACUCAAAGGAAUUGACGGGGGCCCGCACAAGCAGUGGAUUAUGUGGUUUAAUUCGACGCAACGCGAAGAACCUUACCAGGAUUUGACAUCCAACUAACGAAGUAGAGAUACAUUAGGUGCCCUUCGGGGAAAGUUGAGACAGGUGGUGCAUGGUUGUCGUCAGCUCGUGUCGUGAGAUGUUGGGUUAAGU
rnacentral:rRNA from 1 species